UACGGGGGGGCAAGCGUUGUUCGGAAUUACUGGGCGUAAAGGGCUCGUAGGUGGCCAACUAAGUCAGACGUGAAAUCCCUCGGCUUAACCGGGGAACUGCGUCUGAUACUGGAUGGCUUGAGUUCGGGAGAGGGAGUGCGGAAUUCCAGGUGUAGCGGUGAAAUGCGUAGAUAUCUGGAGGAACACCGGUGGCGAAGGCGGCAUCCUGGACCGGCACUGACGCUGAGGAGCGAAAGCCGGGGAGCAAAGCGGG
rnacentral:rRNA from 1 species